rnacentral:rRNA from 1 species
UAGCGGAGGAAAAGAAACCAACCGGGAUUGCCUUAGUAACGGCGAGUGAAGCGGCAAAAGCUCAAAUUUGAAAUCUGGUACCUUCGGUGCCCGAGUUGUAAUUUGGAGAGGGCAACUUUGGGGCCGUUCCUUGUCUAUGUUCCUUGGAACAGGACGUCAUAGAGGGUGAGAAUCCCGUGUGGCGAGGAGUGCGGUUCUUUGUAAAGUGCCUUCGAAGAGUCGAGUUGUUUGGGAAUGCAGCUCUAAGUGGGUGGUAAAUUCCAUCUAAAGCUAAAUAUUGGCGAGAGACCGAUAGCGAACAAGUACAGUGAUGGAAAGAUGAAAAGAACUUUGAAAAGAGAGUGAAAAAGUACGUGAAAUUGUUGAAAGGGAAGGGCAUUUGAUCAGACAUGGUGUUUUGUGCCCUCUGCUCCUUGUGGGUAGGGGAAUCUCGCAUUUCACUGGGCCAGCAUCAGUUUUGGUGGCAGGAUAAAUCCAUAGGAAUGUAGCUUGCCUCGGUAAGUAUUAUAGCCUGUGGGAAUACUGCCAGCUGGGACUGAGGACUGCGACGUAAGUCAAGGAUGCUGGCAUAAUGGUUAUAUGCCGCCCGUCUUGAACC